rnacentral:rRNA from 1 species
AAAUUGAAGAGUUUGAUCAUGGCUCAGAUUGAACGCUGGCGGCAGGCCUAACACAUGCAAGUCGAACGGUAACAGGAAACAGCUUGCUGUUUCGCUGACGAGUGGCGGACGGGUGAGUAAUGUCUGGGAAACUGCCCGAUGGAGGGGGAUAACUACUGGAAACGGUAGCUAAUACCGCAUAACGUCGCAAGACCAAAGAGGGGGACCUUCGGGCCUCUUGCUAUCGGAUGUGCCCAGAUGGG